rnacentral:rRNA from 1 species
AUACGGAAGGUCCGGGCGUUAUCCGGAUUUAUUGGGUUUAAAGGGAGCGCAGGCGGAGAUGCAAGCGUGACGUCAAAUUUCGGGGCUCAACCCCGUCUCGCGUCGCGAACUGCGUCCCUUGGUUGCGGGAAGGGGAGGCGGAACUCGUGGUGUAGCGGUGAAAUGCAUAGAUAUCACGAAGAACUCCGAUCGCGAAGGCAGCCUUCCGGCCCGUCAACGACGCUCAUGCUCGAAGGUGCAGGUAUCAAACAGGAUUAGAUACCCUGGUAGUCCGCACAGUAAACGAUGGACACCCGCGGUUUGGCCUAUAUGGCUGAGCCGCCAAGCGAAAGCGUUAAGUGUCCCACCUGGGGAGUACGCCGGCAACGGUGAAACUCAAAUGAAUUGACGGGG